rnacentral:rRNA from 1 species
GACGGACGCUGGCGGCGUGCUUAACACAUGCAAGUCGAACGGAAAGGCCCCAGCUUGCUGGGGUACUCGAGUGGCGAACGGGUGAGUAACACGUGGGUGAUCUGCCCUGCACUCUGGGAUAAGCCUGGGAAACUGGGUCUAAUACCGGAUAGGACCGUGCUUUAGUGUGUGCGGUGGAAAGUUUUUCGGUGCAGGAUGAGCCCGCGGCCUAUCAGCUUGUUGGUGGGGUAAUGGCCUACCAAGGCGGCGACGGGUAGCCGGCCUGAGAGGGUGUACGGCCACAUUGGGACUGAGACACGGCCCAGACUCCUACGGGAGGCAGCAGUGGGGAAUAUUGCACAAUGGGCGCAAGCCUGAUGCAGCGACGCCGCGUGGGGGAUGACGGCCUUCGGGUUGUAAACCACUUUCGGCAGGGACGAAGCUUUUGUGACGGUACCUGCAUAAGAAGCACCGGCUAACUACGUG